UACGGAGGGAGCUAGCGUUAUUCGGAAUUACUGGGCGUAAAGCGCACGUAGGCGGCUUUGUACGUUAGAGGUGAAAGCCUGGAGCUCAACUCCAGAACUGCCUUUAAGACUGCAUCGCUUGAAUCCAGGAGAGGUGAGUGGAAUUCCGAGUGUAGAGGUGAAAUUCGUAGAUAUUCGGAAGAACACCAGUGGCGAAGGCGGCUCACUGGACUGGUAUUGACGCUGAGGUGCGAAAACGUGGGGAGCAAACAGG
rnacentral:rRNA from 1 species